GUGGGGAAUAUUGGGCAAUGGGCGAAAGCCUGACCCAGCAACGCCGCGUGAGGGAAGAAGGCCUUCGGGUUGUAAACCUCUGUCCUUGGUGACGAAAAAAAUGACGGUAGCCAAGGAGGAAGCCCCGGCUAACUACGUGCCAGCAGCCGCGGUAAUACGUAGGGGGCGAGCGUUGUCCGGAAUUACUGGGCGUAAAGGGUGCGUAGGCGACAUGUUAAGUUAGAUGUCAAAUACCCGGGCUUAACCCGGGGACGCAUCUAAAACUGGCGUGCUUGAGUGCAGGAGAGGAAAGCGGAAUUCCUAGUGUAGCGGUGGAAUGCGUAGAUAUUAGGAGGAACACCAGUGGCGAAGGCGGCUUUCUGGACUGUAACUGACGCUGAAGCACGAAAGCGUGGGGAGCAAACAGGAUUAGAUACCCGAGUAGUCC
rnacentral:rRNA from 1 species